AAAAAAAAAAAGUUAAAAUUUGAACCCUAGAUAUUGUCAAAAUGAGUCCACUCCAAAAACGAAUCUAAACCAUUCAUUUUGUGAAUUUUAAUAUCUUAGCCUUUAUGAACUCAAAAUCAUUUUUUCCUUUUUUGACAUUGUUCAUCUAAUGAUAAUAAAGCCAUCCAAAAAAAUUGAAAAUGAAAAAGUCAUUCUAAGGUCUAAAUGUAG
rnacentral:lncRNA from 1 species